AGGGUGCCCUCGCCGGCCUGCGGCGGCGCGUCUGGGAGCGCAGGCCACUCGUGCGCGGGUCACUCGGGGCUGUGCCUCGCGCGACUGUGUGUGCAGGAAACAAGGAGGAAAUACCCUAAAAUGGAAUGAAGCGCCAUGUUGAGGGCCGCGGAUGUCGCGAGUGCUGUGGGAAUGUGGGCUGAGGUGGAGAGUUAUGGUGGAGGAAGCUAGUCCUGUCUGAUGGAGGAAACAGGGCAGAGGCGUGGAGGGAGACGCACAGUGCUGGUGUGAGGAGCCGCGAGCAGGCCAGGCCUGUAAAGCAGCGUGAUGGGAACCAGGAUAGAGAAGGCAAGUCGGGGUCCUGUGGUCGCUGAAGAAUUUGAAUGAAAUCAGUAAACAGGUGAGAGGGAUCCAUCGCAAGAGCAUGGGAUGAAACGAGCAGUAGUCCACGGUGAUUCCUCUGCAGCGGCUGUACGGGAAGCAUGGUGACGGCAUCUGCCUGGCGCCUGUGGAGUCUCCAGGGAGCUUUUACUC
rnacentral:lncRNA from 1 species